CCUACGGGGGGCAGCAGUGAGGAAUAUUGGUCAAUGGGCUUACGCCUGAACCACCCAAGUCGCGUGAGGGCAGACUGCCCUAUGGGUUGUAAACCUCUUUUGUCAGGGAGCAACGCCGGCUACGUGUAGCCGGACUGAGAGUACCUGAAGAAAAAGCAUCGGCUAACUCCGUGCCAGCAGCCGCGGUAAUACGGAGGAGGCGAACGUUAUCCGGAUUGAUUGGGUUUAAAGGGUGCGUAGGCGGAAUGCCAAGUCAGCGGUAAAAUCGCGGGGCUCAACCUCGCUCCGCCGUUGAAACUGGCGUUCUUGAGUGGGCGAGAAGUAUGCGGAAUGCGUGGUGUAGCGGUGAAAUGCAUAGAUAUCACGCAGAACUCCGAUUGCGAAGGCAGCAUACCGGCGCCCAACUGACGCUGAAGCACGAAAGCGUGGGUAUCGAACAGGAUUAGAUACCCGUGUAGUC
rnacentral:rRNA from 1 species